AGAAGGAGUUGAGUGAUGGUAGAUAUCAGGCCCUGGUCUGCGGCUUGGAAGUUUCCUGUGAAUAAGAAAAACAUCAUCGCUUCUUGAGUCACAAGGAUGAUAGGAUGAGAAAAAGAAAGGACAAAGGCACCAGAGGAGGUAUGCCAAAUGGGAAACUUUUCAUCACUUUCCAGAUAAAAACUAGCAGUCUGUGAAGGCAACUGGUCUGAUUUUUCAGGAACCAGACACUGGAACAUGUCGUCUGAUGUACAUCACACCAAGAAAUAAAAAAAGAAUUGGAAAGCCAAUGUCCAAUUAUUUACUAAAACAGAAUCCACUGGAGAGAAAUGCAAAGGCAGGUAAAAAGGCAAUCUCUUAACAUGAAAACUCACAACUGUAAAAUGAGAACCUAAACUAUACAGCGACAAACUCAGGAAAAAGUCUCCAGCUACUGCUGUCUCUCAGACUCUCACAGUAUGUGUAACCACUUCCUCCUCUGCACGGAAUCACCCCAGAAGAUCAACUCUACUAGAUCAUUUGAGGACAAUGAACAAAGUCUCAAGACUGAAUUCCCACAGAAAACAUUCUCAUGAAACCACCCAAUAUUCUGGUGAAGUUAAAGAAGGGCAUGUGUUCGGAGACAACCAGAAGCAGCAAUGCUCAAAACCACAAAACUCUGGAUUGCCGACUCUGCACAUCCUGGUUCCUCUAGAUACAGUUCAGUGGCACAUUCACAAAUAAACGUUUUCAAAAACUGCCCUCAGGCAGUUCUAGAGAAAUGCUUUGACUUGCCUAAUGGUAUAAUGUCAAGAAAGGAAGACGAGCACUGAUCAUUCAUACUCAUUAUUACAGUCACAGGGCACUGUCUGACUUGACAGAUACAGCCGAGCAGUUAAAAGGUUAUGGGAAUUUAAGUCCAUUAUGGUCAUACGAUUCUUAUGGACCCAGAGAUAUGAAAUUAAUCAGCCACAUGUGUAGGGACAAAGUUUGUCAUAAAUAGAUAUAAGUUAUCUGCAUGCUAAGAACUUAGUUACUUAACUCUGUUUCCUCAUGUUAAUAUAAACAUAAUUAUAGAAUGCAAAUGAAAUACUUAGCCUGGAGCCUAUUAUAUAGGAAGCACUCAAUAAUUUCAAACUAUUGAGUAUAUUAUUAGAUAGGCUCCAUAAUUAUUUAUUCCUUUUUCAACAGACAGUAUGAUCUAUUGAAAAUAAAGCCAAACUAGAUUUCUUUGACCCACUCCUUUUUCUGUUUGUAUUGUUGGCAAGUUGUUCUAAAUCAACUUGCCAACAUACUAUUAACAUGUUAUUAACAUAGAAGGGAUGCUUAUUUUGUUUGCUUUGUAAGAAAUGCUUCUGAUUCAGUAACUGGGCAAUUUAUUUAAAUAUAAGUAAAAAGCAGAUUUUAUUAAAAACUACUUUGUGCUAUCAUAAA
rnacentral:lncRNA from 1 species